GGCAAACGGGUGCGGAACACGUACGCAAUCUACCCAAAACUGGGGAAUAGCCCGGGGAAACCCGGAUUAAUACCUCGUAACAUCAGGAUGCGGCAUCACAAUCUGAUUAUAGCUCCGGCGGUUUUGGAUGAGCGUGCGCCUGAUUAGGUAGUUGGUUGAGGUAACGGCUCACCAAGCCUUCGAUCAGUAACUGGUGUGAGAGCACGACCAGUCACACGGGCACUGAGACACGGGCCCGACUCCUACGGGAGGCAGCAGUAAGGAAUAUUGGUCAAUGGACGCAAGUCUGAACCAGCCAUGCCGCGUGAAGGAUGAAGGUCCUCUGGAUUGUAAACUUCUUUUAUAUGGGACGAAACCCUCUUUUCCAAGAGGACUGACGGUACCAUAGGAAUAAGCACCGGCUAACUCCGUGCCAGCAGCCGCGG
rnacentral:rRNA from 1 species